rnacentral:pre_miRNA from 10 species
UGAAUGAGCUCCGCUUGGAAGUUGUCUGUUUAAUAUCAGCAGGUAAAUCUGAGCUAAACGACAGAAUCUCAGAGUGCCGCCUGGUAUUGUCCAGACAACGCAUGCUGUCAACAGCGAAGUC